ACAUCGCCUCCUGCCCAAAUAUAGGAGGUCCUGUCUGCCCAGUGACCCUGUUCAACGGCCGCGGUAUCCUAACCGCGCGAAGGUAGCGUAAUCACUUGUUUUUUAAAUAAAGACCUGUAUGAAAGACCACACGAGAAUCGUACUGUCUCCCCCCUCUAAUCAGCGAAACUAAUCUCCUCGUGAAAAAGCGAGAAUUCUUAUACAAGACGAGAAGACCCUGUGGAACUUUAAACAAACACAUCAAGUUUGUCACCCCUUACUAUGAUUGUUAGUUUUUGGCUGGGGCGACCUUGGAGCACAAAAAAACCUCCGAGAUGAUAUGGAACUUUCCUAAACACAAGGCUACAACCUUAUGUAUCAACAAAUUGACUUUAUUGACCCUUAUUGAUCAACGAACCAAGCUACCCCAGGGAUAACAGCGCAAUCUGCCCCGAGAGUCCACAUUAACGGGCAGGCUUACGACCUCGAUGUUGGAUCAAGGUGUCCAAGUGGUGCAGCCGCUACUUAAGGUUCGUUUGUUCAACGAUUAAAACCU
rnacentral:rRNA from 1 species